CUCAAUCUCUCUGGUGUUCGUUCUCCUCAAUCUCUCGGUGGUUGUUCUCCUUAAUCGCGCCAUCACCAGCAUUGCUCCCGUAGCUUCCUUACCUUGAUUUGGUAUUCUAAUUUAGCUAGUGAAGAUUAGAGAGAGAAGAGGUCAUUUAUGGAAUUCAGGGAUGAUGACGAAUACGAAGAACUUUCUUCCGCUUCAUGGAGAGGGGAAGAAGAGGUCACCAGUUAGCAAGUUUGGAAAAUCUCAUCACAUGAUUCCGAUGAUUUGCUUAGAUCCCGAACUCCGUUAUAGUUUCCAGCGUAACUUCUAGGGAAAACAUAUGGCAAACAGAGCUGUUUUCAAUCCAACAUUCCCCCUAAAUCUAUGGUAAGGUAAUGAAUUUUAAUUUUAUUAGACUUGAAUAUGUGAGAAAAAGAAAGGGAUAAUGUAGUUUUUAUAUAAAAUGGGAUAAAGGGAGUACAUGUUAUACUACAGAUAUUUAAAUUUGAUUGUUUUUACCCCUAUAUUUUGUAGGCGCAAAAACAAUGAUUAUAUUUUCAAGUUGUAUUUUGUUUGGUCUAUCACUUUCAGCAGUGUUAUCUUGUCCCUCCAUUGUGAUGAUUUCAUAUCAAAAACAUGAAGUCAAGUUUCUCAAAUGAGUUUUGGAGUCUUUUAUUCUGUUUAGCAAUGAGAUUCUGAAAUUGAUUUACAAUCUUUUAUUUUCUUGUGAAGCUAGUUAACUAGUUAGUUUUCUUGUAAAAAUAUGUUGAUUUCUCUCUAAUGGGGUUAAUUUACGGUUAGGAUUGGGCUGGCUUAUGUUCUCUCUGCAGCGGUAGUUUAGUUGCUGCCUUGUUUCUAAACGACAAACCUUCUGUUACAUCUUCUGCUGCACUAUUUGGAUUGAUUGGCACUAUGCUUUCAACUCUUGUUCAAAACUGGACAACUUACAACAAUAAGUUGACAGCUAUUGCAGUUUUAGUAUCUGUUUCGAUAAUCAAUAUUGUAAUGGGCUUGCUGCUGUUUUCUUUUGGGAUUUGUGCUGCUGUUUAAACAUCAACUUGGAAAAUGACUCAAGGAAAAUGUGCUUUCUUUGAGUAUGAAGUAAAAUCUUCUGCCAAGUUCAGGCAGAAGCUUGACAGACCCGUCUUAGGAGCACGAUUCUGUUUAUAUUCGUGGAAUUAAUGAUGGGGACUGCUGUGGCUGUUUGUUGUGGUGUUAAUAUAGGGGAGUAUUGUUGGUGGUGUAAAUAUUUGGAUUAUGUUCCUUCCAAAUGGUGGAGCUGUAAUGGAGAUCAAAUGAAGUGUGAGAUGGGUGUGAGUACAUGGCAAUUGACACUAACUUGCAUGAGUAGUAGUGAUAGUAAAAUACGAUUGUGGGCUGAAGACAAUACUCAAAAUGGGUGGAGCACUGAGAAAUAGAAGACUUCAAGCUAAAAGGCACUGGGAAAUAAAAGAUUGUCCAAGCUCUUAUGCCGUAAUUGAUGGAUAGUCGUUUAAGGAUUCUGUGUGAAAGUGUAAGAGAAAAUAGUAAAGUUCUAUCUAUCUCAUGGGAACUAACUAUUUGAAAAUUAAUGCAUUUUGUUUACAUAAACCUAUCAGGAAGUUAACUAAUUAAUAUUUUUUUAUUUAAUUA